rnacentral:sRNA from 1 species
GCUGGGCAUGGUGGUGCACGCCUGUAAUCUCAGCAGCUUGGGAGGCUGAGGCAGGAGGAUUGCAAGUUCAAAGCCAGCCUCAGCAACAGCAAGGUGCUUAGCAACUCACUGAGACCCUGUCUCUA